rnacentral:rRNA from 1 species
AGGGUGUCGGACGUCGCGACCCGUUCGCCAGAUCGAUGCUCAGGGGCGCGUCUCAAGUUCGUAUGCGCGGCCGUUUCGGCGGUCGCGCGGCGAUGACGCGUUUCCACUGUUUUCGACGCGGACGGUAGCUUUGCGCGCGGGUAAUCGAGGCGGUCCUUCGUCCGGCGUCUCGUACGUCGGACGGCGCUCGCCUCGACGCCGGUCAGCGACGAAUCUUCGGGCCUCUUUCCGACCCGUCUUGAAACACGGACCAAGGAGUCUAGCGUGCGCGCGAGUCGCGGGGUAUCCGAGGAGUAGUAGUCGUUUCGGCGGCGAACGCUCCUCGUCACGAUACGAAACCCGUGUACGUACGUUGUGCGAAGGCGUAAUGAAAGUGAAAGGCGGCGCUUCGCGCGUCGCCGGGGGAAGACGGUCGACCGUGUACACGUUUCGCGACCGCGUAUGUGUCGCGACCGGUCACCCGCAUUCCCAGGGCGUCCCGCUCGUACGUCGGCGGCCGGGGUUCGCUUCGACCGUCGACGAACUGGGGCGCACCUACAGCGUGCACGCUGGUACCCGAAAGAUGGUGAACUAUGCCUGGCCAGGA